UCCCUCUCAGGGUUGCACCUGGGGAGUUUCCAGUACUCUACCAGUCUUGACUAUGGGAGGGAGAGUCAAGCAGAGGCCUGCCCAUUCCAUUCCUAGCUUGGGCAGUGGUUAGUGAGUGGCAGGCAAUCUGCUACAAGU
rnacentral:snoRNA from 1 species